rnacentral:rRNA from 1 species
GCAGUCGAGCGGUAGCACAGGAGAGCUUGCUCUCCGGGUGACGAGCGGCGGACGGGUGAGUAAUGUCUGGGAAACUGCCUGAUGGAGGGGGAUAACUACUGGAAACGGUAGCUAAUACCGCAUAACGUCUACGGACCAAAGUGGGGGACCUUCGGGCCUCACGCCAUCAGAUGUGCCCAGAUGGGAUUAGCUAGUAGGUGGGGUAAUGGCUCACCUAGGCGACGAUCCCUAGCUGGUCUGAGAGGAUGACCAGCCACACUGGAACUGAGACACGGUCCAGACUCCUACGGGAGGCAGCAGUGGGGAAUAUUGCACAAUGGGCGCAAGCCUGAUGCAGCCAUGCCGCGUGUGUGAAGAAGGCCUUAGGGUUGUAAAGCACUUUCAGCGAGGAGGAAGGGUAGUGUGUUAAUAGCACAUUGCAUUGACGUUACUCGCAGAAGAAGCACCGGCUAACUCCGUGCCAGCAGCCGCGGUAAUACGGAGGGUGCAAGCGUUAAUCGGAAUUACUGGGCGUAAAGCGCACGCAGGCGGUUUGUUAAGUCAGAUGUGAAAUCCCCGCGCUUAACGUGGGAACUGCAUUUGAAACUGGCAAGCUAGAGUCUUGUAGAGGGGGGUAGAAUUCCAGGUGUAGCGGUGAAAUGCGUAGAGAUCUGGAGGAAUACCGGUGGCGAAGGCGGCCCCCUGGACAAAGACUGACGCUCAGGUG